CUUACUACUGCAGCACAGAGCAGUAUUAAAACGAUCAUAGAAAUAUCCGUUUGUUUCCCACCUCUGGGAAAAGGUGAUCCCAGAGUAUCCCAAAGGGAUCGCUCAUCAUAGAUUCCAGUGGCUUGUAAAAAGCCUCCCUGCAAUGGAGCACCCCACAACCUCUGGAGCCAUUCCACUGGUUAAUUUCUCCUUCGUUUUAGGCUGAAUCUCUCUUCGAUGGUUCCUUCGGCUGCUUUGCAGAGUACCACAGAGAGAUGUUGUUAACUAAUGAAAGAUGAGCAGCGGUCAACCUUCUCCAGAACUUUGAUGGUCUUCUCCACAAGUUCCACCUCCAAUUCUGGAAGAACGAUGGAUCCAGGAAAGGAGAAGUUCUUCUCUUGUUCUGGAACCGCAAGCUGAGAUGAAGCCAUCAGAUCUCUUAAGGAGGCUGAAUCUAGCUAAAAAGCAGCAGAGACGGGUGGAAUUAUUCCUGUCUUGGGUGUGGUCCUUCCCUUGUGGUGUGGCGGAUUGUGUUUCCAUUAGCACCCCACCGAAGAGGGUCCCUGUUAGUUUUUUUCCCAACUGGCUUUCUUCCACUCCCUUUGGUAGAGCAGGCUUUGUUUUCCAAAAGCAAUGAAAGAAGCUUUUGUUUUCCCGGCCUUAUCUUGGAUAUGCUUGAAACGUUUUUUCCCUUUUCUCCUGGGGUGUCUUUCGGCUUGUGGGAAGGUCAGAGGUGGAAGAAACGUGUGUGUGGUUGUUUCUUUCAGGACGAUGCGUCAUGCAUAUUUUCUUCGCUUUCCCCAUUUGCAAAAGUUUUGGAUGGAAGGCACUGUGUUGAAAAGAUGUGACUUCGGCUCCCAGAAUUCCCCAGCUUUAAGAGAAGUUGUGGGUCCUCCAUCAAAGAAGGUUUCCCUAAUUGAUUAUUCUCACUGUCAGGAAAUUUCACCUUAGUUCUAG